UCCCUGAUGGCUCGGACAGUAAAGAAUCUGCCUGCAAUGCAGGAGACCCAGGUUCGAUCCCUGGUCGGGGAG
rnacentral:tRNA from 1 species